UGGGGAAUUUUCCGCAAUGGGCGAAAGCCUGACGGAGCAAUACCGCGUGAGGGAAGAAGGCUUUUGGGUUGUAAACCUCUUUUCUCAGGGAAGAUAAUGACGGUACCUGAGGAAUCAGCAUCGGCUAACUCCGUGCCAGCAGCCGCGGUAAUACGGAGGAUGCAAGCGUUAUCCGGAAUGAUUGGGCGUAAAGCGUCCGCAGGUGGCUAUGUAAGUCUGCUGUCAAAGCGUGAAGCUUAACUUCAUACAGGCAGUGGAAACUACAAGGCUAGAGUACGUUCGGGGUGGAGGGAAUUCCCAGUGUAGCGGUGAAAUGCGUAGAGAUUGGGAAGAACACCGGUGGCGAAAGCGCUCCACUAGGCCUGUACUGACACUGAGGGACGAAAGCUAGGGGAGCGAA
rnacentral:rRNA from 1 species